CACAGCAGUUCCAAUUGAAGGAGAUAUGCUGCAGCUGUGCAACAGGCCAGCCCUCUCCUUGACCUCUUUAUAACAGUUAACAGAUCACUACUUCUUUAUAACAGGUGGUGCUAGAAAUUAGUCUGAUAUUAGUCUGGAGGGAGGUAGGGGAGCUGAUGGUAAAGAUGUUGCUGCUUAUUUGUGCUGCUGAUGGAGGCUGCUUAAUGUAUCAGCUGAGAAGGAAUUUCUCUUUCUGACACCCAUCAGCUUGAAAUUGCUGCUGAACUGGUAUGGAGAGCUGGUGUCUUCUGGAGUAUGCAGAGAGAAGGUUGCAGAGGUGUUACGUAACUCUGAACUCCUGUACUUAACUGAAAAUACUUCAAAACCAAAGACACCAAUGCCUCUGGAAAUAAGAAACAGAAUCUAUGUAUUUACUGAAGAAAUGCAAAGACUGUAAUCUCUCCAGUUGAACAUAUGUACAAAGAACACCACUUUUCUGAUAACAGUUGUGUUUAAAAAAAUAUGUAUUUUUAUUACUCUAUCUUAAACAGUUCAGCUUUCAACAGUAUACUUAAAAAAUAAAAUAAAAUCAUGCUUUCCAUCCCAAUGUACAGUUCAAUUUUCAGGCAGUGCAUACAGCAAGCUUUGUAUGCGUCUACCACAGUUUCAAUAUGAUUUUCAAUUGUUUUGAUGGUGCAGUAUGAAAGAAACCAAUUAUUUACCUUAAACUGGGGCUAUGAGUAAUUAUAGGAGAAAAACAGGAAGAAUUUUUUAUCCAUGAAGAGCCAAGUAAACUGUUUUUGGAGCAAAAAAAUGCAGUCCAUUUGUCUUUGCUGUGGUAGCCUUGUGUUACUACUAGGUA